rnacentral:rRNA from 1 species
UACGUAGGGGCCAAGCGUUGUCCGGAUUUAUUGGGCGUAAAGAGCUCGUAGGCGGUUCGGCAAGUCGAAUGUGAAAUCUCCACGCUCAACGUGGAGGGGUCAUUCGAUACUGCCGUGACUUGAGUACGGUAGGGGAGUGUGGAAUUCCCGGUGUAGCGGUGAAAUGCGCAGAGAUCGGGAGGAACACCCGUAGCGAAGGCGGCACUCUGGGCCGAUACUGACGCUGAGGAGCGAAAGCGUGGGAGCGAGAGA